AACGAACGCUGGCGGCAUGCUUAACACAUGCAAGUCGAACGCCCCGCAAGGGGAGUGGCUGACGGGUGCGUAACGCGUGGGAAUCUACCCAUCCCUACGGAAUAACGCAUGGAAACGUGUGCUAAUACCGUAUACGCCCUACGGGGGAAAGAUUUAUCGGGGAUGGAUGAGCCCGCGUUGGAUUAGCUAGUUGGUGGGGUAAAGGCGUACCAAGGCGACGAUCCAUAGCUGGUCUGAGAGGAUGAUCAGCCACAUUGGGACUGAGCCACGGCCCAACCUCCUACGGGAGGCAGCAGUGGGGAAUAUUGGACAAUGGGCGCAAGCCUGAUCCAGCCAUGCCGCGUGAGUGAUGAAGGCCUUAGGGUUGUAAAGCUCUUUCACCGGAGAAGAUAAUGACGGUAGCCGGAGAAGAAGCCCCGGCUAACUUCGUG
rnacentral:rRNA from 1 species